GACGAACCGUGCGAACGUUAUUCGGAUUUAUUGGGCUUAAAGAGUGCGUAGGUGGCAGUGUAAGUCGGGGGUGAAAUACUAUCGGCUCAACCGUGGAAUUGCCUUCGAUACUGCAUUGCUUGAGGGGGAUGGGGGCAAGUGGAACUUCCGGUGGAGCGGUGAAAUGUGUUGAGAUCGGAAGGAACGCCAGUGGCGAAAGCGACUUGCUGGGUCUUCUCUGACACUGAGGCACGAAAGCUAGGGGAGCAAACGGG
rnacentral:rRNA from 1 species